CCUACGGGCGGCAGCAGUGGGGAAUAUUGCACAAUGGGCGCAAGCCUGAUGCAGCCAUGCCGCGUGUGUGAAGAAGGCCUUCGGGUUGUAAAGCACUUUCAGCGGGGAGGAAGGCGGUGAGGUUAAUAACCUCAUCGAUUGACGUUACCCGCAGAAGAAGCACCGGCUAACUCCGUGCCAGCAGCCGCGGUAAUACGGAGGGUGCAAGCGUUAAUCGGAAUUACUGGGCGUAAAGCGCACGCAGGCGGUCUGUCAAGUCGGAUGUGAAAUCCCCGGGCUCAACCUGGGAACUGCAUUCGAAACUGGCAGGCUAGAGUCAUGUAGAGGGGGGUAGAAUUCCAGGUGUAGCGGUGAAACGCGUAGAGAUCUGGAGGAAUACCGGUGGCGAAGGCGGCCCCCUGGACAAAGACUGACGCUCAGGUGCGAAAGCGUGGGGAGCAAACAGGAUUAGAUACCCCAGUAGUC
rnacentral:rRNA from 1 species